UACGUAGGUGACCAGCGUUGUCCGGAUUACUGGGCGUAAAGAGCGCGCAGGCGGUCGUUCAAGUCGAGUGUGAAAGCCCCCGGCUCAACUGGGGAGGGUCACUCGAUACUGAUCGACUUGAAGGCAGGAGAGGGAAGCGGAAUUCCCGGUGUAGUGGUGAAAUGCGUAGAUAUCGGGAGGAACACCAGUGGCGAAGGCGGCUACUUGGUCCG
rnacentral:rRNA from 1 species